AGGCCGAAAGGCGUAGUCGAUGGGAAACAGGUUAAUAUUCCUGUACUUGGUGUUACUGCGAAGGGGGGACGGAGAAGGCUAUGUUAGCCGGGCGACGGUUGUCCCGGUUUAAGCAUGUAGGCUGGUUAUCCAGGCAAAUCCGGAUAAUCAAGGCUGAGGUGUGAUGACGAGGCACUACGGUGCUGAAGUAACAAAUGCCCUGCUUCCAGGAAAAGCCUCUAAGCAUCAGGUAACAUCAAAUCGUACCCCAAA
rnacentral:rRNA from 2 species